CCUCACUUCCCCCUUAGGCGGAGAGAAGGAUACAGGGAAGCUUGGUAAAAAACAGAAUUAAAGGGAAUGGGUGUCGGAAGCCGAGGGUCUGAAGUUCACGACUCAUAGAAGGGGAGGGGAAUUGAAAGGCUCUCAGUGAAGAAGGAACCACCAAAGUCAUUACUACAACAUCAUAGGACCCUUUGUGAUCUGGCGCCUGGGUACUUCAGACAUUUCCUUGGCUGGAUGCUUUGGCACACUGACCACCUUGUUAGUCCUCAAACACUCCAAUACAUUCCUGUCUCAGGGCCUUUGCACUUGCUCUUCUUCUGAUUGGAAAAUUUUUCCCAGGUCCAGAAUCCUCCAGAUCAAUUUACCAAUAAGUUCAAUAUGUAAAACAGACCAAUGUGAUUGAAAUGGGAACGAAUGAGAAUUAUUCCAACUUGCCAGCAGUACUUACCCCCUUUUCCACCCUCCCCAAAGGGUGUACUUUGAAAACCAUUGGAAAAACUCACCCCCUCAUGAAUGGCUUGAAAUACCCCAUCUGUAACAUGCUACAUUAAAACAUUUGCCUAUCUCA